UUUGUCAUCGACUACAUGACAUUUAAACCUAACAUUUUAUAAUACGCAUUUUCCACAAUUAUUAAAAAAACUUUCAAUAUAACUUUUUAAAGCCUCCAUCGUAUUCUGUUUCACUCUUUGAUGGUUAGACACUUAAGCUUUUCCCUACACCUCAUUUUCAUAAACAGUGCUGGAUUCACCGGCUCAUUCAUUCCUCCAAUCAAGAAAUAAAACUAUACCAGCUACACUGCCAGGGAUUUCGUGAUAAACCGAGCUUGGCCUGGGCCUCUUGGGGCCUAAAGCCAGCGAGAGGCCGGCAGGAAAGCAAUCGGGUGCCUGGGGCCAGGCUUGGGGAACUGACCUGCUGGAGGGGCUGAUGGCCCCAUGAGGGUGGCCUGCUGGUGGCAGUCACGGGGAGAGGGUGGUGGGGCAGGUGGGCCAUGACAGAAGCUGAUGAGGGCUUGAGGACCGUGAACCCAGCAGCCUGGAGGGCGGGGGUCAGGGUCAGCAUUAGGGCCCAGGCGGGGUCAUGAAGGGGGCCGGGAUGGCACCACUACCGUGAGCCCUGCAGCCCUCUCCCUGUGACUGCCUCCUGGAGGUCAGGGUCAAGGUCAAGGCCCAGGAGGGGUCAGCAGGGGGAUGCAAUGACACCAUGGCCACGUGCCCACCUGGCAGCCUAGGGGCAGGAAGGGUGGGGACACAGGGCAGCAGACAGUGCGCUGGGCACAGGGAGGAUGGCAGGGUCAGCAACCCUCUGGGCUACAGACCUCAGCUCAGGCGGACACAGCCAGCGGCCCGCACCGGCUGGAACAGCACGCCCCGGCGUCUGACGCCCUGAGUGAACGUCCCGGCGCGAGCAGAAAGGAUGACGGGAAGGGGGCGGGGCUAGAGUCACGUGCACCCGCGAUGGACGACGGGAAGGAGAAGGCGCCCGGGAGCCGCUUCUCCUCGCGGGGCAGCCAGGCCUCGGCAUGGUGGCCUUAGGGGCUGGGCCGGGAGCCCGCGUAGAGGAGGAGGAGGAAGCGGCGGUGAUCGUCCCGAGGGCUCCGCGGAGUGCGCACUCACCGCCCGGGCCCUCGGGAGGCAGCCCCCGCUCUCCACUCCCGGCCCCUGGGAGGCAGCCGCCGCUCUCCACUCCGCACCCGCAGGACCGCCAUGGACCCGGUUGCUCUGCGCGGGAGCUGCAGGAGGCAGUCCAGAUACUCACAUUGCCAAACUGAAAUCCUGGAGCAGAGUUUCUACAACUGUGAGUUACCAUCCAUUAAUCGGUCAUGAAAUUGAUUGAGAGAGUUGUUACCGAUAUUUUAAAACAGAGCAGAAUGAAAUGGAGCGGGACAGAAAAUAUCAUAGUUCAUCAGCCAUAAUAAGAGUAAGUAAUCUGUCAUUAAACUUUGAGUUUGGUGUACCCAUAUGAUAUGGUUUGGCUCUGUGUCUCCACCCAAAUCUCUCCUGAAUUGUAAUCUCCAUGUGUUGGAGGAGGGGCCUGGUGGGAGGUGAUUGAAUCGGGGGGUGGAAUUUCCUCUUGCUGUUCUCCUGAGAGUGAGUUCUCAGGAGAUCUGAUGGUUUAAAACUGUGUGGCACUUCUCCCUGCAUUCUCUCUCUUCUCCUGCCUCCAUGUAAGAUGUGCCUUACUUGCCCUUCCGCUUCUACCGCGACUGUACGUUUCCUGAGGCCUCCUCAUCCAUGCAGAACUGCGAAUCAAUUAAACCUCUUUUCCUUAUAAAAUACCCAGUCUCCGGUAGUUCUUUAUAGCACUCUGAG
ensembl:lncRNA